rnacentral:rRNA from 2 species
UUUAUAUGAGAGUUUGAUCCUGGCUCAGGAUGAACGCCGGCGGUGUGCCUAAUACAUGCAAGUCGAACGCGUUGGCCCAAUUGAUUGAUGGUGCUUGCACCUGAUUGAUUUUGGUCGCCAACGAGUGGCGGACGGGUGAGUAACACGUAGGUAACCUGCCCAGAAGCGGGGGACAACAUUUGGAAACAGAUGCUAAUACCGCAUAACAGCGUUGUUCGCAUGAACAACGCUUAAAAGAUGGCUUCUAGCUAUCACUUCUGGAUGGACCUGCGGUGCAUUAGCUUGUUGGUGGGGUAACGGCCUACCAAGGCGAUGAUGCAUAGCCGAGUUGAGAGACUGAUCGGCCACAAUGGGACUGAGACACGGCCCAUACUCCUACGGGAGGCAGCAGUAGGGAAUCUUCCACAAUGGGCGCAAGCCUGAUGGAGCAACACCGCGUGAGUGAAGAAGGGUUUCGGCUCGUAAAGCUCUGUUGUUAAAGAAGAACACGUAUGAGAGUAACUGUUCAUACGUUGACGGUAUUUAACCAGAAAGUCACGGCUAACUACGUGCCAGCAGCCGCGGUAAUACGUAGGUGGCAAGCGUUAUCCGGAUUUAUUGGGCGUAAAGAGAGUGCAGGCGGUUUUCUAAGUCUGAUGUGAAAGCCUUCGGCUUAACCGGAGAAGUGCAUCGGAAACUGGAUAACUUGAGUGCAGAAGAGGGUAGUGGAACUCCAUGUGUAGCGGUGGAAUGCGUAGAUAUAUGGAAGAACACCAGUGGCGAAGGCGGCUACCUGGUCUGCAACUGACGCUGAGACUCGAAAGCAUGGGUAGCGAACAGGAUUAGAUACCCUGGUAGUCCAUGCCGUAAACGAUGAGUGCUAGGUGUUGGAGGGUUUCCGCCCUUCAGUGCCGGAGCUAACGCAUUAAGCACUCCGCCUGGGGAGUACGACCGCAAGGUUGAAACUCAAAGGAAUUGACGGGGGCCCGCACAAGCGGUGGAGCAUGUGGUUUAAUUCGAAGCUACGCGAAGAACCUUACCAGGUCUUGACAUCUUGCGCCAACCCUAGAGAUAGGGCGUUUCCUUCGGGAACGCAAUGACAGGUGGUGCAUGGUCGUCGUCAGCUCGUGUCGUGAGAUGUUGGGUUAAGUCCCGCAACGAGCGCAACCCUUGUUACUAGUUGCCAGCAUUAAGUUGGGCACUCUAGUGAGACUGCCGGUGACAAACCGGAGGAAGGUGGGGACGACGUCAGAUCAUCAUGCCCCUUAUGACCUGGGCUACACACGUGCUACAAUGGACGGUACAACGAGUCGCGAACUCGCGAGGGCAAGCAAAUCUCUUAAAACCGUUCUCAGUUCGGACUGCAGGCUGCAACUCGCCUGCACGAAGUCGGAAUCGCUAGUAAUCGCGGAUCAGCAUGCCGCGGUGAAUACGUUCCCGGGCCUUGUACACACCGCCCGUCACACCAUGAGAGUUUGUAACACCCAAAGUCGGUGGGGUAACCUUUUAGGAGCCAGCCGCCUAAGGUGGGACAGAUGAUUAGGGUGAAGUCGUAACAAGGUAGCCGUAGGAGAACCUGCGGCUGGAUCACCUCCUUUCUA